GAGACAUUUAUUCACCUGUGAUCUUGUGUCAGAUGAUGAAAAGUUAUAGUGAGGCAGAGAGAUGGAAACAGGGGUCUUGCUGUAUAGGAGGUACAAGGUUACCCAGCUGAGGAGAGAGAGAGAGAGAGAGAGCAGAAAUGAAGACAGAGACAGGUGCGCUGCUGCAAAGGAAAUACAUGGUUACCCAACCUGAGGGAAGUGAAGGAGAAGGAGAGAGACAGACAGCAGGAUAGAGAUGGUGGCAAAGUGCCAGGCAUAUGCAAUGAUACAGUGAGACAGGGUGUGGGUGGAACAUGCAGUUGGAAGCUAGUGGAUGGCAAUGAUA